AAAUAUAAAGAGUCGANCCUGCCCAGUGAUANAUAUUUAACGGCCGCGGUACUCUGACCGUGCAAAGGUAGCAUAAUCAUUUGCCUUAUAAUUGAAGGCUUGUAUGAAUGGUUUNACGAGAACAAAGCUGUCUCUUUUUAAUUCUAUAAAACUUGAUUUUUAGGUGAAGAAGCCUAAAUAAAAUUGAAAGACAAGAAGACCCUAUCGAGCUUUAAAANNUUUUAUUANUAUAUANUNNCUNAAAUAGACUAGCUAUNAUAAAAGAUUUUAGUUGGGGCGACUAAGGAACAAAAAAGCUUCCAUUNNUNANAUUNAAGGCAAAUUNGCUAUGAUCCAAAAUUUUUGAUUAAAANAAUUAGUUACCGUAGGGAUAACAGCAUAAUCUUUUUUGAGAGNUCUNAUCGAAAAAAAGGUUUGUGACCUCGAUGUUGGACUAGAAUAUCCUAAANGAUGCAGAAGUCUUUAANGGUUGGUCUGUUCGACC
rnacentral:rRNA from 1 species